rnacentral:rRNA from 1 species
GACGAACUGUGCGAACGUUGUUCGGAAUCACUGGGCUUAAAGGGUGCGUAGGCGGCUCGUUAAGUCGGGGGUGAAAUACUUCGGCUCAACCGGAGAAUUGCCUUCGAUACUGGCGGGCUAGAGGAAGGUAGGGGUCGCGGGAACUGCCAGUGGAGCGGUGAAAUGCGUUGAUAUUGGCAGGAACGCCGGUGGUGAAGACGCGCGGCUGGACCUUUUCUGACGCUGAGGCACGAAAGCCAGGGGAGCAAACGGG